CCGAGGGAAAGUUCUCCCUGAGAGCUUUUCAUUUGGUGCAUUGGCCGGGAAAGGAGAUCCUCCACCCAGGGACCACCGACCACCCACUGGGAGGUAAGCCGGCCGGCGUCUGUCUGUCUGUCUGAUUUUGUCUCGUUCUGCCUUAUUCUGUCUGUUCUGUGAGCGCUCAGCCAGGUCUGUUCUGUGAGCGCUCAGCCAGGUUGUUUGGAAUUUGGGCGGGACGAAGAAGGAGCUGACGAGCUCGGACUUCUCGCCCCGCAGCCCUGGAAGACGUUCCAAGGGUGUUGGGGCCCGACUUUUCGGGGCCCAAUCUGGGAGAGGAGAAAGAUCCGGACUAACGGCACCUCUGUCUGUAUUUUUGGCUUUCAGAGGGCCCCGGACCUUUGCCACCUCCAUCUGACUUUUUGCUUUCAGUUUGGUACCAAAGCCGUGCAGCACGCCUGUCUGUUGUUUGUUUGACUGUUGGUGUUGUUUGUUUUCUCUGUGUUCUAAUCUUCCUUAGAACUAACAUGGG
rnacentral:lncRNA from 1 species